rnacentral:ncRNA from 1 species
CCAGUGCCUAGCCCGACGGGGCGAAAACCGGAUUCCUUUCCACCGGCUGGCACUGGUUUUUAUUGAGGGA